AGGACCCCAUCAUCUACACAGCCUUUCUGUCUUCACAAGCAACUGUGGAGUUUUCUGUCCCUGGCAUUGACAUGUCCUUGAGAAUUUACCCUUCCCACAUCAGACUUGCCCCAUCUGAAGUGGGAGCCUUGGUGCUGUUCAUGUCUGGUGUCUGCUCCUGGCUGUGUUGCUCCUUCACUGGUGAUGAUGGAAUCUGCAUGAAUGACAGAGACUGACAAGGAGAUCUGGGUGGCCUGGUUGCCCAGGGAAAGGUUGAGAGUGGGGUCACUAAUUAUAUUGUCCAUUUCAGUCACUCCAGGAAGGACAGUUCAUUUAAUUGGCACCUUCUGCUGAGAUAGAAGGCCGUUAUUACACAGUCUAAUCUAGGAUGUAGACGGUUCUGGUUUUUGCUGAGAGUAUAAGAGUUUGGCCUGGGUCUGGACCUUAGCCACAGGUCCUAAGUUGGGGCUAGGUCUCAUUGCAAGGCAGCACUAGACCUGGGCGGAGAAUGGAGGUCUCAGGCAGUCAGAACCUGCUGUUGAGGUGGGAAAGAAUGAGAGAUUGUGGAAUGAAGCAGCUUAGGGUGGGCAUAGGAAGAGUUUUCAGAGACCAGGCACAUGCCAUAGCAUUACCUGCUGCAUCUCUGCUCCAACUUACCCUCCAAGCUCUUGGGAGAGAUGGCUGCUGAGAACUGGGAGUCGCUCUUCCAUUUUAUGCUGCAGAAGAGGGAAGAGUCCUUUAGGGGAACCCAGGAAAGCAAAGCCCCAGCCCCGGUGUCCUGGGACAGAGGCCAGUGACAGUGACUGCAAAUGUUUAGUGGGCCCCAUCAUUUAUAGGGUGCUCCUUCUACCAAACUGUGGUUCCCAAAGUCACUGUAUGGGUGAGAAAGAAGGACUCCUUUGAAAGAGGAUUAGUUCUAAGGGAAGUGAGAUGAUUUGUGCACAGAAGGACCUGGAGGCUUAUUUCUGCACUCAUGUUUUCUGAUACAUGGAUCUGUACUCAGGGACAGGAGAACAGGAGAUGGACGGAACCUACCUUCAUUGGCGGGACUGUCAUCCCUUCUUUGCUAUCUGCUUGCAAGACUCAAAGAUGUCGGGCUAAUGGGAUAAGGGUGCCAACCCGAUUAUCAAUGACUAGUGCUCUCAUUUUAUAGACUAUGCUGUUAGUCCUGAGAACACAAUGUAGUAUGGCACUUGUCUGCUUUAUAACCCCCAAGCAGCAGGAAUUAUACCCUUUUGGCCAGUUGGACUGAAGCCCUUAGAGAAACAUAGCCAUUGAACCCCACAUGCCUUAUGUACACUAUGGGGCUCUGGCAGUUUCCCCAGAGACUGACCCUGUCUGAGCUGCACCCAGGUGGCCAGAGCUGAUGAUGGAUGAGAUAGCACUGCUGUAGUGUCCAGAACGCCUCAGGUCCCAGGGAGUGGGCAGCCCAGUGAGAGUCAAGUGGCUUGUCCACCAGGAGAUGGGUCACCUAGCUCCUGUCACAAUGUGGGCAGUCUCUGGCCUUCCUAACACAGUACAUGUGAUCCUCUUGCGUCUGUUUUGUUACUGGUUGUAUCCUGAAUGGGCUAAAGAAAAUUCCCCAUGUCACAGUGGCCUCCUGGUCCUGUGCACCACUUUGCUGUCAGUUGCAGGAACGAUGCAUGGGCUCCCUCAUGUUAGCAAGUGUGUGGUGUGCUCCACACUUACACUCCAGUAGCUUCCACCAUGGUGUCUGUGGGAAGGUGCCAGGGGUGCUGUUUUUACGUGGUACCGAUUGACUGUGACAAUUACCUUGUAAUCACUUAUUUUCAACUCCAUUUCUGGUCGCCUCUACCUCUAUAUUGUGUGUAGGAAGUGCUGUCAUCAGAACAAAAUGCACCCUCAUCUCUGAUGUCACAAACCACAUCACACUAAGCUCAAAUUAAUGCCUUGACUACUGUGUCUCUGCACGGAUGAUGCUGAAUCGCUGGCUUCGUUCCUUAGUCUCCACAUGUAAAACAGUUGGCUGUUGCUCGUGUUGCACAAGUAUUUUAUGCCUUAGCAACACUCGCCUCCCUGUGGCUGUGGAUUCUGUUUACAAGGUGCACAAGUCACUUCCUGGAUGCUGUCUACAGCCCCUUGCAAGCUCAGUGAACACUGCAGAAGAACAGGUGUGAGAUUGUAAGAGCCUAUCAGGAAGAGUACAUAAUAAGUAGAUUUCCAGUUACCAUGACUGUAGCUGACUUGAGGUCAGACUGCUAGGAGUAUUACAGAAUAAACCUAGCUACAUUUUCCCACUUAUUCUCUCAAAUACUACAAAUAAGACAAUCCAUAGAGAGCUGUGGGGAACUCUAUAAUAAACCCUUGCUCCAGGAGUGAGACUCAUUGGUGUCAAGGUAACCAUACCCCAGGGAGGAUGGAGACCCUUAUGUCCUCACCUACGUAGACCUCUGUGACCCAGACUUUGGCAGCUCACUGCUGCUGACACCCAGGCCCAUGCUUCUGUAAGUCCCCCCAAUAAACUGUGCCUGUGUAA
ensembl:lincRNA Gm2762 predicted gene 2762